rnacentral:rRNA from 1 species
UGUAUAAUGGGUCAGCGACUUAUAUUCUGUAGCAAGGUUAACCGAAUAGGGGAGCCGAAGGGAAACCGAGUCUUAACUGGGCGUUAAGUUGCAGGGUAUAGACCCGAAACCCGGUGAUCUAGCCAUGGGCAGGUUGAAGGUUGGGUAACACUAACUGGAGGACCGAACCGACUAAUGUUGAAAAAUUAGCGGAUGACUUGUGGCUGGGGGUGAAAGGCCAAUCAAACCGGGAGAUAGCUGGUUCUCCCCGAAAGCUAUUUAGGUAGCGCCUCGUGAAUUCAUCUCCGGGGGUAGAGCACUGUUUCGGCAAGGGGGUCAUCCCGACUUACC